GUGAUGGCAACUUUUCAGGAGCUAAGGUGAGAAAACAGGAGGGCUUGGUGCAUGCUUGUGAUCCCACUGGACUCGACUCCUGAACCUCCUGGCUGCUGCUCCACAUGAGAACCGCCUGCUCUGGCAGGCCCUCGCAUGUGAGGACUGAGGGCAGGUCACAGCCUGUGUGCUCUGAGCCUUUCCUGCUCUGCUUUCUCUCUAUCACAGUGAACCACGUUCCCAGGCUCUCCUGACCUCUGCAUUCAGGGCAGGUCCAGUCCAGUCGGUGGCAGGCACCACCAGAUGGCGAGGGGGAGGAGCAAGCCAGCCAGCUUCAAUCCUGAGCAACAAUUACCAUAAAAUAUUCUAGGAAAGAAAUAAAAAGCCUAAGGAAUGGCCGAGCUACACAUGUGGUUACUGAGUGCAGGCCACGGAAGCUUCUGGAGAACAUGUGAGGGACUUUGCGGUUUUCUGGCUCGGUCUUCUAACUUUCCACAUGUGUCACUGAAGGAGAAAAUAGCUGACUUGCAAGCACACACACAGACUUGGGAGAGCUGUUUCUAUAGCAAGCUCACAGAGAGCUGUGAUACGUGGGCCUUCGAUGCAAUACUUCAACAAUGGAGGUGGUGAUUCCUACGUGACUCCUGCAUGCGUCUCCACCACCCAAAGCACAGAAUGAACGCUGGCAGAUACUACAACAGGGACAAACCUAAAAAUACACUAAGAGAAAGAAGCCAGAGACAAAAGUCCGAUAUUUUAUGAUUCCAUUUAUACAAAAUAUCCAGAACAGGCAAAUCCAGGGACAAAAAGAUUAGUGGUGCCAGGCUGAGGGGGACUGCCCAGGGCAUACUGAGUGUCCUCUGUGUGGUGGUAACAGAGCUCUGGCGGGGGACGGGAAGCUCUGGAACCACAUAGUGAUGGUGCUUGUACUGAAUGCCUUCAGUUAAAUACUUAAAAAAAGCAUCAAAGUGGUAAAUUUUAUGUGAAUUUUACCACAACCAACAUCUAUUCUACGCAUAAGUGCUCAGACACACAAGCUUAAAUAUUGCACGCUUUGUCUUAUAUGAAAAACUUCCAUGUUUCAGAUGUUCUUUGGUCUUUGAGUCUGGUUAUUAAUCUGUAUAUGUGGUAAUAAAUACUAUAAAGUCUUAUAAAUAAA